GGUGAAAUGGUCAAUGUUGAAUGUGUCAGGUUUGUUCAAGUUUAUGCAUAAUCAGUUUGUUUUUGUUUUAAUUUAAACUUGAAAUUGUUAUGUCAUUCAAUGAUCAACUUAUUUGUUCACUUAUUUUAAUCAAGAGUUUAUUUGCUCUGUAAAUUUAAGCAGAAAAGGUAUAAUUAUGGUUUCCACACAAAGGACUCUUUAGGUUAGCUUAUUUUGAUUGAAGAGGCUGAAUUGAAUUUAUAAUUGUUUUGACAAUUUUGAUUUACUUUGACUUAUUAACUUUCAAAAUUUAACCAAGACUUGAGUUGGUUUGAUAAGAAUCUAAUUUACGAAAAUUUCAAUCAAUUUCGUAAUGAGUCUGUUAUUCAAUUAAUGCACAGCCCCUAAAAGCUGGUUACCAUUAGAUGGCUUUGUUAUUGUUUACCUUGUUUAAUUGCCCAUCAAUACAUAAUCAACACGUUAUUCUUUACAAAUUGAUUAAUCUCUAAAUGUGUUUCUUAAUAGUCAACAUGAACUUGUAGCAGUGAUUUACAAUGUUUUUGCUGGAUCUGAUUAGAUUAACCAAAUCCAAAUAAAGUGGAGAGACAGACACAAUCAAAGAUGAUUCCUGCAGUGUAAACAAUUGAAGUUAAUUGUUGAUGAUUGGUAACAUCAUCUACAGCUACAAGAGACGGAAAAGGAAAUCUAAAAUGUUAAGUCUUCUUUUUUUCAGGUUGGACCCAUUCUGGUAAUCAUGAUGAUAAUCAUUCUCAUUCCCAUCUCACCUCAUCACCAUCAUCAACAACAACAAAAACAGCAUUUACCAGUUGAACUACAAUUUAGUUGAAGGAGAGACAAAAAAAUGUAGGAACCAAGACCAGCGUGUAGAGAGACCAGGAUAAAAAGGGUAACCAACAGGUUAAGAGGAAUCCUGAAGCGAGCAUAAACAUGAUGGAACAGAAUGUUUUUUUUUUCGUUAACGUGGCGAUGAAAACGUUAGACCUUUUUUUGUGAAUCUGUUCAUAGUUGGAUGGUUAUUAUUGUUAUGUUACAAGUCCAAACCCGGUAUUUGGAUGAUGAUGUUUUAAAGUUGCCUGGUUCCUUCAGUUUCAUCCUUCUUGUUCUUCUUGCUCUUCUCUUUUUUUCCUUUCGCCUCAUGAAAAAAGAGGAAUCUGUUUAAGCUUGAAAGAAGAUUUCAAGGUAACCUUGAGUUCUCUCUCAGUCUGAACAAAAGUAGCUUAACCAUAACAAAAAAAUAAUGGUAAACAGAUAAACACAGAAACACAGAGAACCAGCUUCAUGAAGCUAAACUUGAAUUUCAUGAAUGAAAAACAAGAGAAAGAGAGAGAAGAACAAGAAAAAAACUCCGCCUUUCUACGUGAAAAUAGUCAUCAUUAUCAUUAUCAUCAUCAUCAUCUUUAUCAUCAUGAUCAUCAUAAUCAUCUCUCACUCACCUUUCCCCUGAUUCUCGUUCUUUGACUUCCUCUUUCUUUCUACUUUCCCUGGUUCUUGUUUUUACCAUCCCUUCACUCAUAACUCCCACAUCAACAUCAACUUUCAUUGUAACCGGUUGAAACAAUUUAUUAUCAACUGAUUAUUUUGAUUAUCAUUAUGUAUUAUUAUGUUCCAGACUUGAUGUAAGCUUGAGUUGAAGUGUUCAAUCUAAUUGACACUUUUUUCAACUCUUCUAGUCCACAUUAAUUCUUACCUUAAAAUGUAACUUCCAUCAAUGUAUCAACCGCUUAUUUUUAAUCAUCAGGAACAAAUAAGCUAAACUAUCAAUUCACUACCUUUAAAGUUAAUCACUUUGAUAACCCAAAUAAGAUGACAUAAUGAUAUUGUCUCAUAUGUCUAGCCUGAUAAUCAUAACUAUUAAUUGUUUCAACCAUAUUUAAACCUUAUUGUCAGCAAUCAAUCUAUUUUUAUAUUGUAAAAUGUCAGUCAACUUUGUUGAACUGCUAUGUUUAUUUUGAUUGUGAAAAAAAUGCUAACUACAAUUAAUCUCACAAUUUUUACUAUUUUAUCCUGUUAAUGUAAUGAUUGUGUUCUGAUGGUUGCAAUAAUAACAAUAAUUGUCCAACAUUGUUGAUAAAAAUUACCUUUACUAUGUAAAUUGAAUCAAAUAUUUGUUAAUCUAAUUUCAUAUUUUUUUCAUAUAAAUCAUUAUGUUUACUCAUACAAUCUUUAAUUAAGCUUGUAGUCUCUCCUUGGACUUAUUGUAAUCAAACUUAAUCAAGCUAACAUCCGUUCACCUGUUGUUAGAUUAUUAUUUGCCCGUAUCACAGUGAGAAAGCAAUUUAAUUAUGAAUUAAUUGUUUAUUGUCACUAUUAAUAGACUUUUCCAGGUUACGUUAGAAAAGGAUUUCAAGAUUAAACGCUUAACAUACAAAAUGAAA